AGGUAGCGGAGGACCUUACUAAAAUACAGCACGGUGGGGCAAACCGGCAGAUAAACUUCUUGCUGGCUCCCCGAUACUCUGACAGCGAUGCUUAACUGGGGGCUUAUGAGUCGUCCCAGUUCUUGGGGAGAAUCAUUCAGCGGAGAUUUGGGAGCGUUGAGGUGGAGGUUCCGGAAAGAGACGAGAUGAGCUGAACCUUAGGACAAAGAAUGGCCGAGUGGAUUCUGAGGACCGGAGGAGCCGCCACUGCCCGUACCUGGACACCAUUAACAGGAGUGUGCUGGACUUUGACU
rnacentral:sRNA from 1 species